rnacentral:rRNA from 1 species
CCUACGGGAGGCUGCAGUGGGGAAUAUUGGGCAAUGGGCGCAAGCCUGACCCAGCAACGCCGCGUGAAGGAAGAAGGCUUUCGGGUUGUAAACUUCUUUUCUCAGGGACGAAGAAAGUGACGGGACCGGAGGAAUAAGCCACGGCUAACUACGUGCCAGCAGCCGCGGUAAUACGUAGGUGGCAAGCGUUAGCCGGAUUUACUGGGUGUAAAGGGCGUGUAGGCGGGGAAGCAAGUCAGAUGUGAAAACCCCGGGCUCAACCUGUGGCCUGCAUUUGAAACUGUUUUUCUUGAGUACUGGAGAGGCAGGCGGAAUUCCUAGUGUAGCGGUGAAAUGCGUAGAUAUUAGGAGGAACACCAGUGGCGAAGGCGGUCUGCUGGACAGCAACUGACGCUGCGGCGCGAAAGCGUGGGGAGCAAACAGGAUUAGAUACCCGAGUAGUC